GAUAUGUUCCCAUAUUCUCAUAGACGGCACCAAUCUGUUGUUGCCAAAAUCCAGCCCAAUUAGGAUAGCCUGGGGGGCAUUGAUCAAUCCGCUUGACUUGUGAUGGUGAAAGAUGAAGCAUUAAUCUUUCUUGGGGGGCUGUAGAUCUGUACACACAACAAAGAAGAGAAAGGCUUGUCGGAUUGGCUCUGACUGAGCCCUCCAAUGCCUAAAUUGGAUCGGAUUUUGAUAAAACAAUAGUAAAUAAAGAAUAUUAUAGAGAGUUAGAGUAAUGUAAAAUAUCUAUUUUAUUCUAUUUAGUAUCUGAUCGAUCUGGAGAUGGUCAGAUCUGAUCAGUGUCUAACAGAUCCAGAGGUAGUUAGAUCUAAUCGACGUCUAACUAAUUUAGAGAUGGUC
rnacentral:lncRNA from 1 species